rnacentral:rRNA from 1 species
UGGGGGAUAUUGCGCAAUGGGCGAAAGCCUGACGCAGCGACGCCGCGUGGGUGAUGAAGGCCUUCGGGUCGUAAAGCCCUGUCGAGGGGGAAGAAACAGCCGUGAUCCAAUAGAUCACGGCCCUGACGGUACCCCUAAAGGAAGCACCGGCUAACUCCGUGCCAGCAGCCGCGGUAAUACGGAGGGUGCGAGCGUUGUUCGGAAUCACUGGGCGUAAAGCGCGUGUAGGCGGUCUGUUAAGUCUGAUGUGAAAGCCCGGGGCUCACCCUCGGAAGUGCAUUGGAAACUGACAGACUGGAGUCCCGGAGAGGAGGGUGGAAUUCCUGGUGUAGCGGUGAAAUGCGUAGAUAUCAGGAGGAACACCGGUGGCGAAGGCGGCCCUCUGGACGGUGACUGACGCUGAGACGCGAAAGCGUGGGGAGCAAACAGG